UGAGUAACACGUGGGCAAUCUGCCCUGCACUUCGGGAUAAGCCUGGGAAACUGGGUCUAAUACCGGAUAGGACCUUUAGACGCAUGUCUUUUGGUGGAAAGCUUUUGCGGUGUGGGAUGGGCCCGCGGCCUAUCAGCUUGUUGGUGGGGUGACGGCCUACCAAGGCGACGACGGGUAGCCGGCCUGAGAGGGUGUCCGGCCACACUGGGACUGAGAUACGGCCCAGACUCCUACGGGAGGCAGCAGUGGGGAAUAUUGCACAAUGGGCGCAAGCCUGAUGCAGCGACGCCGCGUGGGGGAUGACGGCCUUCGGGUUGUAAACCUCUUUCACCAUCGACGAAGGUUCGGGUUUUCUCGGAUUGACGGUAGGUGGAGAAGAAGCACCGGCCAACUACGUGCCAGCAGCCGCGGUAAUACGUAGGGUGCGAGCGUUGUCCGGAAUUACUGGGCGUAAAGAGCUCGUAGGUGGUUUGUCGCGUUGUUCGUGAAAUCUCACGGCUUAACUGUGAGCGUGCGGGCGAUACGGGCAGACUAGAGUACUGCAGGGGAGACUGGAAUUCCUGGUGUAGCGGUGGAAUGCGCAGAUAUCAGGAGGAACACCGGUGGCGAAGGCGGGUCUCUGGGCAGUAACUGACGCUGAGGAGCGAAAGCGUGGGGAGCGAACAGGAUUAGAUACCCUGGUAGUCCACGCCGUAAACGGUGGGUACUAGGUGUGGGUUUCCUUCCUUGGGAUCCGUGCCGUAGCUAACGCAUUAAGUACCCCGCCUGGGGAGUACGGCCGCAAGGCUAAAACUCAAAAGGAAUUGACGGGGGGCCCGCACAA
rnacentral:rRNA from 1 species